rfam:Dipodomys ordii contig_85954, whole genome shotgun sequence.
GGGAAGGUGGCUCAGUGGUAGAGUGCUUGCCUCGAAUGCAUGAGGACCUGGGUUCAAUUCCUCAGUGCCA